rnacentral:lncRNA from 1 species
ACCAGUUCUGUCUACAAGAUACAAGAUGCCCUAUCUGACUGCCAAGGUUAAGGGCAAAGGGAACGGAAUCCAGACAGCUAUGGUCAACAUGAUUGAUGUUACAAAGGCACUCAAUUGGCUUCUAAUGUAUCACACUAGGUAUUUUGGUUGUAAGCUGGGAGCACAGACCCAGUCUGAUGUUAAAAUGACUGUUAACAUUGUGGGUGGGUCUCAUGAGGUGAAUAAGCAGCAAGACAUGUUGGAUGGAUUUAAAAAGUCAUUAAAAGACUCUUCUCUCCUGAGUGUGAGAGUUCUGAAGCCGAUCUACAUGUCUUUCCAAAGAAGCAAGCAAUAGGUAAUUCUUGUAAAGCCUGUGGGUACUGAGGCAUGCUUAUACACAACAUAAACUCGGUGCACUCAAUCUCAGAAACCCACCUGAGAAUAAUGUCAGUGGUACAGGGAAGAAAGGAAAGGAAAGGAUGAGAACACUGGCUCCACAGCCAGCAGUGAGACACCACCAAGUAAAAUUAGUCCUCCUCCACAGCAUGUGGAGGAAGAGGAGGAGGAGGAAGGGUGCAUGGGAGGGGAGGGGGCGAUACAACUGAGGUGCAGAGUGGAUAAAUCCAGUGACCAUGCAAAAUGCCUGACACUCAGCUAGGAUUUGGCAAGAACUGUAGAAGGGCAUGAAAACAUCCUGUUGGAUAAGAAGACAGCGUUAUUUAUUCAUCUGAUAAAUUGUCAAUGAAGCUGAAAAACUGGAUGUAAAGCCAUGGGUCCCCUUGUUUUGACCGAAGUUCUCUUUAAUGAGAAGAUGUGAGAGAAAAGCAAGAAAUACAGGCUCCAUUUCCCAAGAUUUUGUCAUAACAACAAAAAA